rnacentral:lncRNA from 1 species
GCCCCCAGGUCUGUGUGAGCUAGCUGCUUUAGGGACAUAUUAAUAGAUGAAGGAAAAAAAUUUUUUGAGCAAUGAGGUGGUAGGAUUUGUACAUUUUUGUUCAUUUCAUAUCAAAUCCUUCACAUUUUUCUUUGAUGAUGUCAAGAAAUAAAAGUUUUCCUUUCUCAAGAGCAGAUACUCAUUUUUGCGGUUUUCACAAAAUUGACUUUCGCAGACAAUGCUAUGUUUCACUCUAAGCAGUUCUCUGGAAAACAUUAGUUCAAACAUUAAAAAUAGGAUGCUACUUUUCAGGCCUCAAUCUUUUUAUUAGUAAAGUAUGUGUAUGUAAGCACACUUUGAAAGCAUUUUAAAAAUUUUAAAAACUCCUUUCAAACCCGUGGAAACCUAGCAAAGCAACUCUUUGUUUAUGUGUAUUUGCUUUAAAUUCUGUUUCCAAAAAUGCUUUCUUAUCUAGAUUUACUACUUUUUCUUGCUUUCCUUUUUUUGGUGAGGAGGGG